rnacentral:SRP_RNA from 1 species
CACGCGGAGACGCGGAUCGCGAUGGUAACCGCAUGGGCGUUUCCAUGGACGCUGUCUUGCUGAGUUAAUUAAGUAGCUGGCUCGUUUCUUCUCUAAGAGUCG